ACGCUCGACACCUACGGGGGGCAGCAGUGAGGAAUAUUGGUCAAUGGGCGCUAGCCUGAACCAGCCAAGUAGCGUGAAGGAUGAAGGCUCUAUGGGUCGUAAACUCCUUUUAUAUAAGAAUAAAGUGCAGUAUGUAUACUGUUUUGUAUGUAUUAUAUGAAUAAGGGUCGGCUAACUCCGUGCUAGCAGCCGCGGUAAUCUGAGGCGGGCUGGCAAGGC
rnacentral:rRNA from 1 species